GAUGAACGCUAGCGGCAGGCUUAAUACAUGCAAGUCGAGGGGUAGCAAGAUUGUAGCAAUACAAUUGUUGACGACCGGCAAACGGGUGCGGAACACGUACACAACCUUCCUACAAGUGGGGAAUAGCCCAGAGAAAUUUGGAUUAAUACCCCGUAACAUAGCGAUGUGGCAUCACAUUGCUAUUAUAGCUUCGGCGCUUGUUGAUGGGUGUGCGGCUGAUUAGAUAGUUGGCGGGGUGACGGCCCACCAAGUCUACGAUCAGUAGCUGAUGUGAGAGCAUGAUCAGCCACACGGGCACUGAGACACGGGCCCGACUCCUACGGGAGGCAGCAGUAAGGAAUAUUGGACAAUGGACGCAAGUCUGAUCCAGCCAUGCCGCGUGAAGGAUUAAGGUCCUCUGGAUUGUAAACUUCUUUUAUAAGGGACGAAAAAAGGUCUUUCUAGAUCGUCUGACGGUACCUUAUGAAUAAGCACCGGCUAACUCCGUGCCAGCCGCCGCGGUAAUAC
rnacentral:rRNA from 1 species